CAGCGCCCCUUCCUCCGCCCACUCAGCUACGACGUGACAGCCGAGUGAGGGCCUCAGGGUGAUGC
rnacentral:pre_miRNA from 1 species